AAAUGUGAUUAGGAAAGUUUCAGGUAUAAAUGAUGCAAAAUACAGCAAUUUAUGGCUUACUUGACGCAAAAGAAAGCUCACAAACGAGAUGGAAAGGAGCUGGACGCAUAAAGGACUAAAUCUGCUGCAUGGAAAAUCUGUCCCGGGCUAAAACAGCAUUUCUGAAGACUUUGGGACUUACAGACACAAAGCUGGAUUUUUGCCAUAAUACAUUAACCUAGUGCAAUUAGGUUAUGUGUUUCAUCAUUCUAUUUGGAUUAUAAUUUUGUAACCUUACCCUAGUACAAUUGGGUCAAGGAUUUCAUUAGUAUAUUAGGAUUUGGUUAUUUAUUAGUUUAGUAGGAGUAGGAUAGGAGUAUUAUAAAUACCCUAUCAUGUUAGAGAUUUUAAAAACAGAAGAAGAGAAGGGAGACAUUCUGACAAUUCAUUCAUCUCCUUACAAUUAAGACAUCUUCCUACAACCCAUUCUCAAUUCUUCAUUCUUCUACUCUUAAAUUCCACAACAAGAGAAUCGUUACUUGCUACGGAAUCACUAAAACCACACGCCAAACACCUACUAUUC
rnacentral:lncRNA from 1 species